CACAUUUCUAUGUAGAAAAAUUAGUCAUAUCAUAUUAGUUAAAAUUUCAAGAACAUCUCAUUAAAAGAAUUGAAGAAACUCAUCCAUUCCUUGUGUGUGCCCCAGAUUCCAUGAACACUCAAGUCGUGGAAUCAUGAUGGUUUUCUCAGUUUUAAAGGAGAAGCUACUCUCAAGACCACAACUGUGUAUUAAUUGUUGAUUGUGAGGUUCUUCUCUAUAGCGCAUCCACAAGACACCAGCUAUUAGACAUGUGUGCGGAUUUUAGAGACAAAUGGUGGAAGCUGCUGGUUGAUGUACAGAGCCGUCAAUUAGAAAUUUCUCUGUACGAGUGAAAAAAAUAGGCCCAUAAGUAUUAAUGUGUGUAUUUCUUCACCAUUAGUACCAAUGUGUGUAGUUAUUCUCUAUACGGUGCUGUUAGACGUCUAAGCUUACACGCGAAACUAAUCAAAACUACAUCGUUUUGAUUAUAUUCAACUAAUAUUU
rnacentral:lncRNA from 1 species